rnacentral:tRNA from 1 species
UCCUUGGUGGUCCAGUGAUUAAGACUCUGCCCUCCCAAUGCAGGGGGUGGGAGGCGGGUUCGAUUCCUGGUCAAGGAA